GCAAAAUAACGUUAACCGGAAAAUAAAAUAAAAUAAAAUAAAAAUGAGAGAAUGAAUUAAAGAUGAAAAACAUGAGUCAAACGAAGCAAAUGUUAAAUAAAAGCAUUACAUUUCUACUUUACUGUUCAAUAGAGUCUCACUAAAUCCAGUAUCUACACUGCAGUUGCAACUACCACAACCAUCCCAAGAACACACACCCAGGUUGAAAUGCCAUCAACAAAGAACCACCAAGCUCUUCAAAACUCAUAACAUAUCAUGAACAAACAUUCUUAAACAACUUACAAUUACUUAGUAAGCAUUUUCACUCGAAGAUAGAGUAAACUAAAUACGUAAACCCUCACGGAAAUAAAUACUCGACUCUCAUGUGUUUGAAGGUUAUGUGUUUCGCUCAAAUUCAUUCCAAAGGGAAUGAUCUACCAUAGGCUUGCAUAUCUUCUCAUUCUCCACCACUGGGAUCACAUGCAUAACACGAAUCAAAAGGACUAUUCAAGGGUUGUAACAGGGUUUACAAUCAAGGCAGGAAAUAUUUGGGAGU